GAAGUUAUUUAUUUGUUGGAUUCUCUAAGGCACCGCAUUCAUGAUGAGGAUUGGAAAUAUAUAGUGGAAAUGUGAGUUCAUAUUUCUUUUUUAUUAAGCAUUUAUGUUAAUACAAAACUCAUAUAUAAAAAAAUCAUUAACGUAUGAAGGGCCUUAAGAUUGUUUAAUUCAAACAAGGGAAGGAAAGGUAGAAAAAAGGCUAUGUGGGUAAUAGUAAAGGCUCCUCGACAACAAGAUGCCAAAUAAUGUGGUUACUAUGUGAUGCGAUUUAUGAGACAAAUUGUUGAAGAAGUUGAAAUUAUCGAAAGAGAUUCACUACGAUCUAUAUUCACACAAGCAGAGUAUUCUCGAGAAGAAAUUGAUGAGGUGCGAUCGGAGUUGACAGAAUGUAUACAAGAUCAUAUUUAUGAGUAGGUGGAUACAGGACAGUCGAGAUCAGUACACUAAGGAGCGUCUGGAUUCAGUAAUUGAUCAGUACACUAAGCGUCUGGAUUCAGUAACUACUGUACUAUUUUGAGUAAACAGAUUGUUGGCUACUUCAGUAUUCAGUAUUCAGUAAACAGAUUGUUGGCUAAACAGAUUGUAGCUGUUCAAAACAGAUUUUUUGUGCUCUUUUGUUUUAUAUGUGAAUAUCACUAUAUACUUUGAAACA